rnacentral:rRNA from 1 species
AGCAGUCGCCGCGGUAAUACGAAGGGUGCAAGCGUUACUCGGAAUUACUGGGCGUAAAGCGUGCGUAGGUGGUGGUUUAAGUCCGUUGUGAAAGCCCUGGGCUCAACCUGGGAAUUGCAGUGGAUACUGGGUCACUAGAGUGUGGUAGAGGAUAGUGGAAUUUCCGGUGUAGCAGUGAAAUGCGUAGAGAUCGGAAGGAACAUCUGUGGCGAAGGCGACUAUCUGGGCCAACACUGACACUGAGGCACGAAAGCGUGGGGAGCAAACAGGAUUAGAUACCCCUGUAGUCCCUGUCUCUUAUAA